CCCCCCUUAGUGGGAGAGUUGCCACCAAAUCCCAUAAGAACUCCUGAGUUAAGCAUGCUUGGGUGAGAGUAGUCCUCAGAUGGGUAACACAUGCUGCCUAGUAU